GCCUGGCUGGCUCAGUUGAUACAGCACACGACUCUUGAUCUUGUGGUCAUGAGUUUGAGCCCUAUGUUGGGUG
rnacentral:tRNA from 1 species